rnacentral:tRNA from 1 species
UGGCUUGUAGCUCAAUGGUGAGAGCGGGAACCUUAUACGUUCAAGGUUAACAGUUCGAAUCUGUUCAGGCCAA